GCCUCCGUGUAGGCCUCCGUGAAGCCUGGAUUCGAGUAGGCUGGCCAGCCCCAGGAAGAAGGCUGGCCGUCAGAGGGGCCACCCCAGUUUUCUGCAGCAGACCCUCUUCCCAGGCCAGACAGCUCAGCCUUGGCCAGGGAUUUGACAAGCUGAACCUAAGGACAGCCCACUACACACCCCUUCCCUCCAGCUGCAAUCACUUGAAAAGAGAGACUGCUGAGUAUGUGAGGCAAGAUCCUCGGCAGACUCAGAGUACAUCUUGCCCCUGCUGUGUUUUUCCUGCAACUUGGUCAUGGCAUUCAGUAAUUGGAAUGAGUCCAGAGCGUCUGAAACCCACGAGCGUAAAUGGGGGGUGACGUUCCUCUCCCUCCCUGCACGCAAUUCUACAAAGCUGAUGAAUCUUUAUAUACCGCCUCUCAAGUUCCCAAAGCGGUUGACAUAG